UACGUAGGGUGCGAGCGUUAAUCGGAAUUACUGGGCGUAAAGCGUGCGCAGGCGGUUGUGCAAGACCGAUGUGAAAUCCCCGGGCUUAACCUGGGAACUGCAUUGGUGACUGCACGGCUAGAGUGUGUCAGAGGGGGGUAGAAUUCCACGUGUAGCAGUGAAAUGCGUAGAUAUGUGGAGGAAUACCGAUGGCGAAGGCAGCCCCCUGGGACAACACUGACGCUCAUGCACGAAAGCGUGGGGAGCAAACAGG
rnacentral:rRNA from 1 species